rnacentral:rRNA from 1 species
GACGAACGCUGGCGGCGUGCCUAAUACAUGCAAGUAGAACGCUGAAGGAGGAGCCUGCUUCUCUGGCUAAGUUGCGGACGGGUGAGUAACGCGUAGGUAACCUGCCUGGUAGCGGGGGAUAACUAUUGGAAACGAUAGCUAAUACAGCAUACUAGUAGAUGUCGCAUGACAUUUGCUUAAAAGGUGCAAUUGCAUCACUACCUGAUGGACCUGCGUUGUAUUAGCUAGUUGGUGAGGUAACGGCUCACCAAGGCAACGAUACAUAGCCGACCUGAGAGGGUGAUCGGCCACACUGGGACUGAGACACGGCCCAGACUCCUACGGGAGGCAGCAGUAGGGAAUCUUCCGCAAUGGACGGAAGUCUGACCGAGCAACGCCGCGUGAGUGAAGAAGGUUUUCGGGUCGUAAAGCUCUGUUGUAAGAGAAGAACGAGUGUGAGAGUGGAAAGUUCACGCUGUGACGGUAUCUUACCAGAAAGGGACGGCUAACUACGUG